rnacentral:rRNA from 1 species
UACGGAGGGGGCUAGCGUUGUUCGGAAUUACUGGGCGUAAAGCGCGCGCAGGCGGUCUUCCAAGUCAGUGGUGAAAGCCCGGAGCUCAACUCCGGAACUGCCAUUGAAACUGUAAGACUUGAGGAUGAGAGAGGUGAGUGGAAUUCCCAGUGUAGAGGUGAAAUUCGUAGAUAUUGGGAAGAACACCGGUGGCGAAGGCGGCUCACUGGCUCAUUACUGACGCUCAGGCGCGACAGCGUGGGGAUCAAACAGG